rfam:Streptomyces autolyticus strain CGMCC0516, complete genome.
ACAGGCUGGAUUUUGUUCACUGACACCGGUACCUGAUACGGCCGGUGCAG